rnacentral:rRNA from 1 species
AUACGGAAGGCAGCAGUGGGGAAUAUUGGACAAUGGGCGCAAGCCCGAUCCAGCAAUGCCGCGUGUGUGAAGAAGGCCUUCGGGUUGUAAAGCACUUUUAUCAGGAGCGAAAUGCCAUUGGUUAAUACCCGGUGGAGCUGACGGUACCUGAGGAAUAAGCACCGGCUAACUUCGUGCCAGCAGCCGCGGUAAUACGAAGGGUGCAAGCGUUAAUCGGAAUUACUGGGCGUAAAGCGUGCGUAGGCGGUGACUUAAGUCUGUUGUGAAAUCCCCGGGCUCAACCUGGGAAUGGCAAUGGAUACUGGGUCGCUAGAGUGUGAUAGAGGAUGGUGGAAUUCCCGGUGUAGCGGUGAAAUGCGUAGAGAUCGGGAGGAACAUCAGUGGCGAAGGCGGCCAUCUGGAUCAACACUGACGCUGAGGCACGAAAGCGUGGGGAGCAAACAGGAUUAGAUACCCGUGUAU